GAGGUGUGAUGAACAUCAUACUUCAGGUCCGUGUUUUUGACUUGAAUGAUAAUAAUGAAGUUCUGAUCUG